CCGUAAAGUUGUGAAUGCAGCUCCUUUUAUCAUUUGCUUAACUGCUCAAAGCAAGAGCAAACGUUCUGAAGGCUUUUUGUCGCUACAGCAGAACUCUGCUCUGCCAUUUAUGUGGCAUGCAGUUGAACAUCGAUAGCUUUUGUUUAGUUGCACAAACUGUAGUCUGCAUAAAUCCUAAUGGCCUCAAAAUCCUUCAUUUGUUUUAUAAUAACUAGAUGAAGAAUAGCCUGCUUGUGUAUGGAAUAUUUGCUAUAUGAAGAAGAUCUAUAAACUACUCUGCUGUUAUGUUUUUGCUUUUUCCAGCUAAUGGUGAAAUUUUACAGGAAAGAGCAUCAAAUGGAGCACCAGAUUCCACUACUAUUACACAGCAGGAUAUGAAAGUCUUGAUUGAAGCCCUGUUCAUUGCCAUACAUUCACAGAUAGGGCCAGUGGGCAGUAGUGGGGCCAUUUCCACAGUACUUGGAUUGUCACUCCAUCAUCUUUAUUGCACAGCACUUGAGUAAUGAACACAAAUUAGUACUGAAUGCAUUUAAACUUUAAUUCCAUUUGCAAUCAUGGAAUACACUGAUUUGGAAUGGAUCCACAAAGAUCAUCAAGUCUUACUCCUGACUAUACAUAGGACUGUAUGAAUACUUCUUUGUUUUUUGGCUUAAAGCUUGCUUUCUGAGGCAUUUCUUGCGAUAAGACUCUGAGUUAGAUGAGAGAUGGGUGUUGCUGUGUGGCAAUCAACAUCACUGUGUGGACCAUUUUACAUUUGAAAGCAUUUCUCUGGAGCUAUUUGCCUCCGGAAGAGAGUGCUCAGGAGUGGUUACUGGUGGAAGAUCUGGCCUGUGACUAAAUAGCCCCAGGUUGGUGUGGGAAAACUGGGGAAUGAUACCAUCGUGUCCUGUGAAAAACAGGAUUCAGAUGGACAUCCCUGCUCCCUCUUAUUUGCUGGCAAGGCCCGGAAGAUAGUAACAAAGCAGUUUCUGCUGAAUCCCAGAGCCAGUAGCUGCCACUCCAAGGAGAGCUGACUCAACCACUUUGGAUUUGAGCUGUCACUCAAAAGAGAGCUGAUUUGACCAGUUUUGACUUAUAAAUAAGUUUGUACUGCCAUUGCCGUUGUCGUUGUCAUCUCUGUGGACACUGUUGUCAACAGAACAACAACGCCCGAUGACCCACCACUACUGAAGAUAAGUGACUGAACUACGAACCACGCUGGACCCACGGUGGUGACUAUCAUCUCCUUCUUGCCACCUAUAGAGACUCCUUGCUCCUAUUUCCUAUCUUUUCUGCUGCCCUUCUUCCCUUCCCCAUCA
ensembl:lncRNA